rnacentral:rRNA from 1 species
UACGGAGGGGGCUAGCGUUGUUCGGAAUUACUGGGCGUAAAGCGCGCGUAGGCGGACCUGCAAGUCGGGGGUGAAAGCCCGAGGCUCAACCUCGGAACUGCCUUCGAUACUGCGGGUCUCGAGUCCGGGAGAGGUGAGUGGAAUUCCUAGUGUAGAGGUGAAAUUCGUAGAUAUUAGGAAGAACACCAGUGGCGAAGGCGGCUCACUGGCCCGGUGCUGACGCUGAGGCGCGAAGGCUAGGGGAGCGAACGGG